ACAACAUCUGUAGAGAUGUACAAACACUAGCGGCAGGGUAGCCUAACGUUAGUCGUUAGAGCGUUGAGCCAGUAACCGAAAGGGUGCCGGAUCGAAACCCCGAGAUGACAAGAGAAAGUAGCUAGCUCAUGCAUCUGUAUCCAUUGCGGAGGUGAAGACUGAGGGAGGCUGCCAUAAACAAACUUCGAGUCUAAAUUCCUAUUCUCCACCUUCAUGGAGAAGUUGGACCAUCACAAAACUGUUGUCCUUGUUCAAAAUGUAACGUUAUUCAUAUUUUUUUAAAUGUAACCUUUAUUAUACUAGUCAAUAUGAGAGAAGGUGCUGCAAAGGAGAUGCAGAUCACCCUGGAAGUGCUACGGGGUAUGCGCUCAUGAUACAGUCACAUUACAGUCAAUAAUUACAUUUGGUGACUGUUAUGUUCUGUGAAUUACUGAUGUCCCCUGUAAGAAUGGAGCACCCUUGGUCAUGCGCAGUGUUGUUCUAUGUUAUUCUGGUACUAACUGAUUCCAGUAAAAUGUGAAGCUCCAGUUCCA